ACGGAAGGCAGCAGUGGGGAAUAUUGCACAAUGGGGGAAACCCUGAUGCAGCGACGCCGCGUGAAGGAAGAAGUAUCUCGGUAUGUAAACUUCUAUCAGCAGGGAAGAAAAUGACGGUACCUGACUAAGAAGCCCCGGCUAACUACGUGCCAGCAGCCGCGGUAAUACGUAGGGGGCAAGCGUUAUCCGGAUUUACUGGGUGUAAAGGGAGCGUAGACGGAAUUGCAAGUCUGAUGUGAAAGGCAUGGGCUCAACCUGUGGACUGCAUUGGAAACUGUGAUUCUUGAGCGCCGGAGGGGUAAGCGGAAUUCCUGGUGUAGCGGUGAAAUGCGUAGAUAUCAGGAGGAACACCGGUGGCGAAGGCGGCUUACUGGACGGCAACUGACGUUGAGGCUCGAAGGCGUGGGGAGCAAACAGGAUUAGAUACCCUGGUA
rnacentral:rRNA from 1 species